AUUUGGAGAUUUCCUUUACCAAGUUUACAUUAAAUAUAAAUACUCCUGAUUUUAACUUUUAAACUUAGGUCUUAUAUGUCCUUAUUGUGCAGCAGCUCCUGGACUCUACUCACUGUAGCCCUCAGAGGAUGAAUGUAUGUCUCAGGAUUCAUCCAGGCUUUUGAUUAAUCAGAACGUACUUCCUUCUCAAGUUUUGUGAGAUUAGUUCCUUUCUCUUCAAAAUUUCUUAACACAUCUGAUUUUUUAAAAUUCCCUUUGCAAAUAUUUAUCUUCAGUUCGUCUUAUUCACGUUCUUAAAAUUGCUUCGAUGUUACCGUAAGUCUGAAAUGAAGUUUAGCCAUCUUUCUGCUUGUCCUGAGAUUUUAUAUUAUAUUAAUUUAAAAGAUUGUUGAUAACAUUAAAUUUUAAAAAUAGAUGUUAUCCUAUUUGGUGCCACCAAUAAAUCUUAAACCGAAAAGAAUCCUGAUUUUGUGAGCUUGGCACAGGUUAAAGGCAUGUAAAGAAUGUGGACUUCGAAGAAAUUUUCUCUUGAAAAGAACUAAUGAAGUACAUUUCAGUUCCUCAAAGACUAAGUUUGGUUGACGUUCCCUAUCUGUAUACCCCUCUACUUCAUGUUUUUGCUGUUUUGACAGUUCGCCAGUACCUUUCCGCAGUUUACGGGAUGAAGUAGUUGAAACAGUGUCAGUGAAAUUCAAGCUUUAAAUUUUUCUGUAAAUAUGGUAGGAAAAGAGGUUGAACUUAGAAUUUUUUGGUUGUCCAUGUGCUCUAUGUUCACAUGUCAUACAGAUCGUGUGUUGUCACUCAGGAUUCCAGAAGUAGUCAGCCUUGUUAACAUACUGGAUAAGUCUUGAGGAGGUCUUCCACUAGGCUAUGCUUUUUGUCAAAGAACCUCUUUAGAAGGAAGCAAAAUUACAUUGGUUAGCUGAAAGUAGGGAUUACUGCUGCUUUGCCAACUUACAUAUUGUUUUUUCUCCCAGGUUAUAUUUAUCUAAAUGAUUUUGGUAUUUGAAUACUGUAGCCACGGCAAGUGAGCAGUUGAAGACUUCCUUUCUGCACCUUGUAGUUAAGGGUUCACCUUCUCAGAAAAUUAAGUUAUGGUAGAUUACUUUCAUUCUGUGAUUACCCAGAAGUCUAAGUAUCAGGGCCCUAGGGUCACAGCAACCGCACUGCAGGCCUUUGGAAAUGUUGGGAGAGGUUACACUCAAGUAACUGCUAAUGUCCUUCAUCUCUGUUGGAACAGUGUUGGCCUGUGAUUAUAUUUUUCUGAAUCUAAAGACCCAAAUAGGGAUUUCUAAUACCUUGUUUCAGUCUUCUACUUUUCUUCCCAUACAUAAUUUAAAUUCCAUUAUUGUAUAACGUUUCAAAUUAUGACCUUGAUGAAAGGGAGUCUGCUGUUUUGUCAGAAACACUUUCAGUUAGAUGAACAUCAGAAUCUCUACUAAAACAAAACUGAAAAAUGAGGCAGCCUUAAAAGUGCUUAGAUGAACGCUUUUUGAAGCUCAGAAGAGCCAUUAGAUAUACGUAAGACAUUCCGUUAAAUAAAUUUUGAUUUUUAAAAAGUUGAUAUAUUGACUUCUGUCAGCCUGACUUAAUUCCUUAAAUUAAACUGAUUUUCCCACUGGCAGCCAAUGAAUAAAAUUAAUUGUUUCUAUAGAAGUGAGCUCACAAGGUUAAAUGAAUGUUCUCAAAGGUAUACAGUCUUAUUUCAGGAAGAAUGCUCAUGCCCGCUUCACAAUGAAUCAUGCAGAACCAAUUUGGGGUUGCAAGGUGUGACUUCUCUGGAAGCCAAGGCUUUUCAUAAGGCAGUUUGGUAAGAUCUGUAGCACUAAUCCUCAGUGUGCUGGUUGAAGAAACAAAAUAUCUCUAAAGAAAGACAAAGUAGGAAGUAAUUUUAAAAUAUAUUUCCCAGAAUCAUAUCAGCAAAUAAAUGAAAUGUCAUUUUUAUUUUAAGCAAUUCUAGUUGUUAGAAUCCUGCCUCAUUUCUCCCUACUUUCCUUUUGAAAUAUUCUCUAUUACUAAAUAAUAUUAUAGGAAGAAUUCAAAGAAUUAAGAGAUGACUGUUACCUCUGACAUCUGCAAAUUUAACUUAUACAGCUAACAUAAUUGUGUGCUGAUUUUGUUUCUUCGAUGGUGACAGGGCAUAUAUGAGAUUCUCAGUCUACAGAAUUCGAAGGUAGGGUUCUAUUUUAUUACGUCAUGUACCAAAAAUUCCAUUUGGCUAAAUUGAGGUACAUUUUUUUACACAGACUUGCAAUUUUUAGAUGCCCCACAUUUCCUUUUUUAUACUAUCAGCCUCAUCCAUCUGUAGAAAAACUAAUAGUACAGUAUUUCGUAGUCUGUCCUGUAUAUGUACAUAGGAAACUUCCCUUUAAAUAUUAAGAGCCUUUUAAAAACUGCGGACAGAAAAGGAGUUCAUUAUAAAUUCAAAGCAAAUAAUGACCGUUGGGAAUUUAUUGUUAUAUUAACAUGAAGCUUUUUUGUUUUGCCAUUAGGCGUCAAGAGGACAUGAUAAUUGAAAUCUUUAUUUUAACUUUAACUCUUAUUAUAAUGAUUACCUUAUUUUCAUUCUGAUUUUUUGGUUUUCUAAAAAAAACUGUGUUUUAUACAUCUUAGGAACUAAGCAUCAUUUUUAAUGUCAUUGCAUUUAAAAAACAAGACUUUCCUAUAAAAUUUCCUAUAUGAUAACUAUACAUACUAGAAUGGCAACUAAUGAAAUCAUUGACAAAAAUUUAAGGAAAAAUUACAUAUGAAAAGGAAUUAGUAUUCUCCGGUUAGGCAUACUUGCCGAAAUGCUAAAGUGAAAUGGCAAAAUAUCCAAUGAAGACAUUUUGAAUUUUUGGUAACAUGAAUUAUUUUAUUUUUCAUUUGGGGGUUUGGAGUGGAGGAGCACUCAGAUGAAGACAGCAUUUCCUUCAUGAUGUUUUAAAGUUGGAAAAGAAAACCUUCCAAAUGGAAAUUUUUAACAAGACCUGUGUGCUUGCAUAAAGGAAGCCAUAUGAGCCAACAAUCUUGGGUCUUUUGAUCAGGAUGUUAACUCCUACCUUGAAUCAAUUUUCCUCCUGGAGUAGAAUGCUAGGAUACUUCACAGAGAAAUACUACAGUCUUGGAUUUGUUGCCUCCUUCCUGCCUGUGUUUCUUUGUGAGUUGGCCACCACUGCGACUUUCUGGCAGACAAGCAGAGUUCCAGAUAGAGGCUGAUACAUUACCCUGGGUCCUGAAAUGAAGAGGAUGUGAAGCAGAGCCUUAGCUGAUCCAUGAUGGGCAUGAAGCAUGAAUGAGAAACAAACCUUUGUUGUUAUAAGCCACUGGAAUGUCAGGCUCAUUUGUUAC